rnacentral:rRNA from 1 species
ACAGAGGGGGCAAGCGUUGUCCGGAAUUACUGGGCGUACAGCGCACGCAGGUGGCCUGGCAAGUGUGGUGUGAAAGCCCCGCGCUUAACGCGGGGAGGCCAGCACAGACUGCCAAGCUGGAGGGGUGCAGAGGGUAGGGGAAUUGCCGGUGUAGUGGUGAAAUGCGUAGAGAUCGGCAGGAACACCAAGGACGAAGGUACCUACCUGGGCACCACCUGACACUCAUGUGCGACCGCGUGGGGAGCGAACCGGAUUAGAUACCCGGGUAGUCCACGCCGUAAACGAUGGAUGCUCGGUGUUUGGCGGGGAAACCUGCUGGGCACCUCAGCUGACGCGUAAGCAUCCCGCCUGGGAACUACGAGCGCAAGCUUA